CGGAGGCGGCGCGUGGGCCACGUCAGGUAGCCGUGCGGGCUGCGCCAGUGGCAGAAGUGAGAAACUUCUUAUGUACAUGUGGGAGAAGCAAAAAUGUCAGAUGACAUCAAGAAAAGGUUUGAUUUUCCAAAUUCUCUUAUCCAGUCACAGGCUGUAGGUCAUCUUAUUGCUGCUGUCCUCAAAGAACAUGGCGUUUCAGAAAAGAUACACCAAGCCACAAACCAGACGGCCGCCUUGAACUUGCUGUGGGAGAAGUGCUGCAGUGACAAUGUGGUGGUCCGGACAGCCUGCUGCGAGGGCCUGGUGGCACUUGUUGCUCAGGGUCAUGCAGAGUUCAGCUACGUUCUCAAUGGGAUACUCAACCUGAUUCCUUCCACCAGGAAUAUGCCUGGUUUGAUAAAAGCCCUUGUGAAAUUAUUACAAAUCCAAGCACUAAAGGAAGGACAAAGUGGGGAGAAGGACAUUCGGGAUAUAUACACUAUCAGAACUCACCCGCAGCCUUUGAUCACCGUGCUUGAACACAGGCCUGAUUGCUGGCCACUGCUCCUGCAGCAGCUGACUGCCUUCUUCCAGCAAUGCCCUGAAAGGUCAGAAGUUUCAUGUAUCCAAAUAAUGGCACCAUUUCUGUGGUAUCUCUACUGUGAUCCAUCCCAGUCACAGGAAUAUGCCAAGCUCCGGCUGUCCCUGCUCAAAGUCUUACUUCAACCCAGAGGUCUUUGUGGUGAAGCUCAACCUCCGGUACUGGAGCAGCACAUGGUUCAGAUGUGCUGUGACAUGGUCCCGUGCUUGCAGAUGAAAGAUCUGACCCAGACAACAGAGACGAUGCUGUUUAUUGAGGAGCUGUAUCUAAGUCUUCUGCGCCAUCCUGUGUUCUGGAAAAGUCAGCUUACCCAACUCACCCUUCAACUGCUGUGUAUCUGUGAAGUCAGUUUAAAGAUAACCGGGGAAUGCUCAUCUCUUAUUCAACUUUUAGAUCGCAGCCUUGAACUUCUUGGGGAGGAUUUUCCUGUCAAAUUUGUCAUUAUUGGAACUGCUUUUUUACUUCUGCAGACUCCAGCAAGUCAACAGAAGCCAAUAUUAAACCUAGCUUUGAAGCUCCUCUCUGUUGCUGAAGGUCAGAAAAUCCCAAAGGCAUCCUUGCUGCUCAUGGUGCCUCUUCUGCAGAUCCUGUCUUCCACUGCCUUAGAAGACUGUUUGGCCAUGGGUGAGGAAGGUCCCUCUAGGCAGCAGAUGGCUCUGAAUCUUUUGGAAGUGCUACAGAGGGAAUGUUAUGGAGACAACGAUCACAUGCUCUCCUGCAGGCUCACUUUUCCUGUGAGCAGCAUGUAUGGUUCGGUCUUCACCACCUGGAGGGUCCUUGAAGUGCUUGGAGAAGAGGCAGCGGCGUGUGACUGGCUGGCUGCAGUGGAGUCCUUGCUCCCACUCAUUACCGCGGUCCCCACUCAUGUGUUUUUACUGCUGGCUCACCUGCUUGUUGAAGAUACAGGACAGAAUCUUCAGCAGAUCCUGAAGGUCACCACAAAGUUAGCCCAAGCAGAUUCCGCUCAGGUUCCAAAUCUGAUUCCAGUUUUGAUGUUCAAAUUGGGAAAACCAUUAGACCCUGUAUUAUACAAUGACAUAUUGUAUACUUUACCGACACUUGGUGUUCACAAGGUAUGCAUAGGGCAGAUUCUGCGGGUUAUUCAACUGCUUGGAACCACUCCACAACUAAGAGCUGUCACAUUGCGCCUGUUGACCUCUCUGUGGGAAAAGCAGGAUCGUGUGUACCCUGAACUGCAGCGUUUCAUGGCCAUGUCUGAUGUGCCCUCUCUCUCUGUGGGCAAGGAGCUCCAGUGGGAGAAACUGAUUGCAAAAGCUGCAUCCAUCAGAGAUAUCUGUAAACAGAGGCCCUAUCAACAUGGUGCAGACAUGCUGGCAGCCAUUUCUCAGGUGCUGAAUGAAUGCACGAAGCCCGAUCAAGCUACCCCAGCCGCCUUGGUGUUACAAGGUCUUCAUGCCCUCUGCCAGGCUGAGGUUGUCUGCGUCCGCUCUACUUGGAAUGCUCUCUCUCCAAGGCUGAGCUGUGACACGAGGCCACUCAUAUUGAAGGCCCUGAGUGAACUGUUUUCCCUGGUUCCCUCCUUAGCAGUCAGUACAGCUGAAUACGAGAAUUUUAAAGUCCAAGUCCUCAGCUUCCUCUGGACUCACACUCAGAAUAAGGAUCCCAUUGUAGCAAGUGCUGCCUAUAAAUCUCUGUCUCACUUCAGCUCAGGAGAACACACCAUCCUUCACCUGCCAGAAAAGAUAAGGCCAGAAAUGCCUGUUCCUGAUGAGUUGGAUGAGGAGGAGACUGUGGACCUUUCCAUUCCUGGCCCUUGCUAUCUGAGACUGUUGACAAUCACCGCGCCUUCAGUUUUACCAGCCUUGGAAGAAUUCUUUACAUCCCUUGUGAAACAGGAGAUGGUGAAUAUGCCCCGCGGAAUAUAUCACUCGGCAUUGAAAGGAGGCAUCCGAUCAGACCAAGGGAAGACAGUAGCAGGAAUCCCCAAUUUUAUACUGAAGAUGUAUGAAACAAACAAGCAACCAGGACUGAAACCUGGGCUAGCAGGUGGCAUGUUGUUUUGCUAUGAUGUUGCCAUGUAUCAGAGUAAAGAUGGCAAGCCACUGAAUCGACUGAUGGCCAGUAGAGGGCGAAGCUUCAAGCAGACUUCCCUGGCCCUUGUCCAUGAAGUCCAUGUCCAGCCAUCGGAAUGGCACCGCACGCUCUUUCUUCCACAGGCCUGGCUUGCGUAUAUGACUCGAGCAUACCAUGCUGUUCUACAGGGCAGGAUAGCGGAGCUGGAACUGCAGUUGCAGCAUGGGAAAGAAGGACCCGAGGAGGUGCAGUACAAGCGAAACACAGCCUGGCUCUGGGUCAGAGACAUGCUGACUGAUGAGAUCACCAAGACAGCUGCAAAGGAGAGUCCGGUGGUCAAAGGAAAUGCCCUGUUGGCCCUAAGCAGCCUUGCUGUUGUGGUGUCCAAGCACGAAGCCAGCCUUUCCUCAGAUUCUGAUGGAGUCCUGGAGGUUCAACCUAAUUUCCUUCCAGUGAAGGAGUGGGUUUCCAUGGUGCUUAAUACUCUCCUCGUCAUCGUGGACAGCCAUUACCGCCCCAGAGGACAGCUCUUUUCCUGCUUUUAUCAUAAGUCCUAUUCUGGUGAGAACACGGCCAGCGCUAUUGCGCGCUCUGCCGCCGCCACGGCUUUGUCUCUCCUUGUGCCGGUUUUCAUUAUCUCUUGCAAAGAGAAGGUUGAGGAAAUCCUGAACAUGCUGACUGCCAGGUUACCUGGGAAACCAAGUGCUGAUGAAUCUCAAGCCGUGCAAAUCCACAUGGGCCUUGCUUUGGGGAUGUUCCUCUCGCGCUUGUGUGAAGAGAAACUAAGUGACAUGUCUGGCCAGCAGAUGAACCUUCUUCUGAUAAAGUCCUUGGAUGCCCUGGAAAACUGCUGUUUUGACCCCAGCCUUGAACACAACACCGGCUGUGUAUUGGGAGUUGGACUCGCCCUGUCCCUCAUGAGCCACAGCAGCCACACGGAGUCACGAGUUCAUGUGGCAGCAUCUCUGCGGAAGCUGUCUACCUACCUAGAUGACAGUGCGAGCCAGAGCAGGACGUUUCAGGAGGUCCUUGCCUACACUCUCAGCUGUGUGUGUACAUCGGCGUUCAGUGCUGGCGUUAUUGAGGCUGUGGAGGCUGAAGAUAUUAUGAGCAAGCUUCAGCUGUUGGUAGAGAGCAACCAGCAGACUUCAGGCUUUGCGCUGGCAUUAGGAAAUCUGGUUCAUGGUUUGUCUGUGUGUGGACAUGGAAAAGCUGAAGACUUGGGCAACAGACUCCUCCCCAACUGGAUUAAGGUUGUCCUGGCAGAGGGUUCCUCCACCAUGCUCUGUCUCGCAGCUCUUCAUGGUCUGGUGGCGCUGGUAGGCUCAGAUGUGGAUGUCAUGCAGCUCAAGUCAGAGGCCAUCCAGAGCGCCCAGUCUCAAGCAAGACUUAAUGAAGUCAUUCGAACCUUAACUGAGGUCAUCAAUGUCUCGGGGGUGAUUGGUCUUCAGUCAAAUGCAAUAUGGCUUCUAGGACAUCUUCAUCUAUCUACUUUGUCUUCAAAUCAAAGCAGAACUUCUGUGCCUACCGACUACAGCUAUUUGCCCGAAGGCAGUUUUAUUAGAGCAGCCAUUGGCUUCUUCGUUACAGGAGGGAAAAAAGGUCCUGAAGCUGUGCCUCCCACCCUUCUCAAAGUAGUGAUGAAACCCAUAGCAACUGUGGGGGAAAGCUACCAGUAUCCUCCCGCAAACUUGGCUGCACUCCUCUCUCCACUUAUGAGGCUAAACUUUGGUGAGGAGAUCCAGCAGCUGUGCCUUGAGAUCGCUGUGACUCAGGCACCGUCAUCGCAGAGCGCAGCUGCACUGCUGGGCUUGUGGGUGAUGCCACCACUGAUCCAUGGACUGAGCAUGAAUAUCAAGAAAUACCUCCUGGUAUCGUUGCCUCUGUGGGUAAAACAUGUCUCUGAUGAACAGAUCCAGAGUUUUGUUGAGAACCUGAUGGUGGUAGUUUUUAAAGCAGCUUCCCCACCUAGUCAUCCUGAGUUGUGCCUGAGUGCCUUACAGGGUCUGAGCCAGGCCAUGAAACUGCCCAGCCCGUCCCACCACCUCUGGAGUCUGCUCUGUGAUGCUACUGGGAGAAUUUUUGACCUCCUGCCAAAUAGGAUUCGGAGAAGUGACCUCGAACUGUACAUCAGUGUAGCAAAGUGCCUCUUGGAGAUGACAGAUGACGGUGCCAACCAGCUUUCCCAGAUCACCCAGGACAACAUAGAAAAGGCUGCCUUUGUCAAAUUGUACUUGGUCUCUCAAGGCCGACUCCCCUUGAUGAGCCUAAUGGAUCUGAUCACGGCUGCCAUGCGGCACCAUGAGAAACAGACUCUGGCCUGGAUGAUUCUGCACUGCCUUUACCAGGCACGCAUUGUGAGCCAUGCCAACACAGGCGUGUUGAAGAGACUGGAGUGGCUCCUGGAGCUGAUGGGUUACAUGAGAAACCUUGGGUACCAACCAGCGUCUGACCAGAGUGUGGCUCUCCAUGAGGCUUUGGACUUCUUGCUGCUGAUAUUUGCAGCUGCGGUGAUGGCGUGGGCAGACCAUGAGGCCCCACUUCUCCUUGGCCUCAGUGCCAGUUGGUUGCCAUGGCAUCGGGAGAAUGGCGCUAGUGGGCCAGCAACAGCCUUGCUUGGCAGGAGUCCGAUGCAUAGAGUGACCAUGCAGGAGGUUCUCACUUCCCUUCCCAGUAGCAUGCUACUGCUGCUACAGAAAGAGCCGUGGAAGGAACAGACCCAGAAGUUCAUUGACUGGCUAUUUAGCAUCAUGGAAAUUCCUAACGAAGCCUUUGCAGCAAAGUCUAAGGAUCUUCUGAAAGCUACCCUCCUGUCCUUGCGGGUUCUGCCGGAGUUUAAGAAGAAGGCUGUGUGGACCAGAGCAUAUGGUUGGUGACAUCCCAGGAGCCAGCAGCAUCCCCACUGAAUGAGACAGACCAGAGAGACAGAAGGUUUUCGGCACUGGUGACUGAGAUUGUUCUUUCUGUUUUGAUCAGUCAUGGAUGGAAGUCAUGAGGUUUUCUGCCUAUGGACCUCUAAGGAUUCUAAAUUGGUAGCUCUAAAGAUUAAACUCAAAGGUAGGCCAACGAAAUAAUAGCCUCUCUCCUGGUUACCUGUAUGACCCCCAAAUAAGAGUUAAAUUGUUCUAUCACAAUGUGCCACUUUGUUUGACACAAGCAAGCUGCUGUUUCUUUUUUAGACCAUGUUCUUAACUACACAAAGGAGUCUUGGUUUCAAGUUCUCUCUUGUCAGCUUUUGAAAACAGGAGUUGCCAAGACGAAUAGUAUUUGGGGAUGCACCAGUGUAGGGUUGACGCUACAUUGUACCUCAAGAAAUAUCCAAACACAGAUUGGAUUUGGAAAGUGUGCAUUUGGCAAAGAUGUGGGUAUCCAUGCAAUUGUCUAAAAUCAUGUUACAGUCAUAAUUUAAUAGCCCCAUGGUACCCAAGGGGCUGCUAAAAACAUUUUAUGACUUGAAUUAGUAAUGUUAACAUUAAGUAGAGGAUGGAAGAGUUUUAAGAUGCUAAUGUCACCUUUUAAGGUUUGGUAAAGGUGAUUGUAGUCAAAGCUGAGGAAGAAAAGACAUCUGGAGUGGAAGCCCCAUUUUUCUUAGGGAACUCGUCAUCAUAAAAAUUAGGGCUAAUAAGUUGCCCCUGCGUAACUUAGGAGGCAACUCUGAUCAUCUUUUGGAGAUAAAUCAAAGAGUUCAAGUUCCAAGAAGUCCAACUGUCUUCCUAUUUCUGUUAGCUACAGCUCAAACUGGCAGUGUUCCUGUUAGAGCAGCUGAUGAGAUCUACAGUUCACAUCUACACUAAUCUUACUGAACUGGCUAGCAUCUUGCUCUUGGAUGUCCAAGCCUCUAGAACUGUAAAACGUAAAUUUCUGUAGUUUUGACAACCAAGCCCUGUGGGAGGGGGUGCACUUUGUGACACAGCAACAGCCUGAGCUAAGACACAGAAGAUAUUUGAUAGGUAUCUAAGUAUACGUAUUGCUCAAGCUGCUUGGCUCUAAGGGCCGGGGCAUUUGUCUAUAGAGUAUCUAAGUCUAUGUAAUGCUAAAGCUGCUUGGCUCUAAGGGUGGGGCAUUUGUCUAUAAAGUAUGUUAUCCUAGGAUUAAAGAGGAUACUUUACAGCGUUCCCUUCCUAUAAAUCUGCUAGUUGUGAUUGCAGAAGUUAAUCAAUUGGUUUCUCAAGUCAAUUGAGCUUACUC